rnacentral:ncRNA from 1 species
AAAUUAUACGAAGGGACCCAACACAGAAAAUUCAUUUUAUUGAAUUUUACAUUUAUGUGCAAGUUGGGCAAAGUGUUUUAUUUUUUUAAAGUAUGUAAAAGUAAAAUUACAUGUUAAUACGUAGUAUUAAUGGCGAGACUCCUGAGGGAGCAGUGCCAGUCGAAGACCGAGGCUGAGACGGCACCCUAGGAAAGCGAAGCCAUUCAAUACGAAGUAUUGUAUAAAUAGAGAAAAGCAG